UCCAACUACUCUGGGAUGCCAUGGUGCUGUGGGGAUGGGCACAUUACAAAUGCCUAAAGUAGAAUGAAUUGGGGGAAAGUACUAGUGCUAAUUUAAUUGAAUAUGACAGAGUUGUAUGAGAAGAGGAUGAAUUUGUAGUGGGGGAAGUUGUGCAGUUCUCUGUUUUCCUCCAAGGCCUUUCUGAGGUGUGGGAACAGGAGGUGGGGAAGCAGGGAGCUGCCAGAGAUACAUGGGGAUAGGUGAGACAUGGGGUAUGCCUACACUGCAAUUAAAAACCUGCAGCUGGUGCCUACCAGCUGACUCAGGCUCUGGCUAAGGGGCUGUUUUAAUUGCAGUGUAGACAGCUGGGCUCAGGCUGGAGCCUGGGCUCUAGGACCUGCCAGAUGGGAGGGCCCUGGAGCUUGGGCUGCAGUGAGAGCCAGAACAUCUACACGGCAGUUAAACAGCCCCGUAUCCCAAGCCCUGUGAGCCCAAAUCAGCUGGCACAGGCCAGCCGUGGGUGCUAAUUGUGUGCAGAUGUACCCAGAGAGAUAGAAAAAGGGAGCAAAAGAGGGUGGGCUUGGGGAGGAGGGCUAUGUGCAGGAUACAGUGGAGUUGUAAAUGAAGAUAAUGAAAUAAUUUGGAGGAGGUCUGCUCAGUGAGGGAAGGGGGAAACUGAGACCAGCAGGAAAAUCAGAGAUACUGAUGGAUUGAAGGUCACAAAGAAAUUGGGUAGAGGAAAUUAGCUGGUGAUCAGAAAUAGGAUCAUUGGAGAAUGAGAGAUCAGAACAGUACUCAGAGAAUAUGAGGUUCAGACAGAAACCAGCUGGUGGUCAGAACAGACAAUAAGGGAGCACCAGCAACUUCAGUGGUUCAUUCCCCAUGGCUCUGAAUGGAGAAUCUACCCUUGUUUAAAAUAAAAAAGUCUGGAACAAGCUCAAUUGCUAUUAACCACUGAAAAUAACAACUUUGCUAAAUUCAAGCUACUGACAUCUGCAAAGGUAUUUACUGCAUCCUGAUGAAGACUGAUGAUGCAGCAAUAAGUAAAAAACAACUCUUCAAGGCUCCCAGUAUUAGCUAACCACCUUGGCCAAACGGACAAUGCUAUACAUAGAUGACAUUUGGGCACAGAAUACUGCUAAGAAACAGCAUGAGCACCAAUUAAGACCAGCUGAAGACGAAACAAGACAAGCAAACCUCAAACUAGAGAAUGGUUUUUCCACAUAUACGACAGAUUGUUGCCUGGAGAGAGCACAGCUGCUGGCCAGGAUGCUGUACACUUAUCUUCCGUCUUUGCCAUUUCUCAGCCUCUCGAGCAAGGUAGUCUUUCCUCUACCACCCAUGAGUCCUCUUACCAUGACUAAGUUGAGAAAAGAGGACUUGAUUUGGAAGAGGAGACAUCUGCACACAAUGGCCAGCCCAACGAAACUGAUGUUUCAUAAUCUUUGCCUCAACACUGGUGAUGUUAGCUGCUGAAGGAAUGCUGGCAUUGGUGCAACAAUCUUCCCAUCUGAUACGGAGAAUCUUCCAAAGACAGCGCUGGUGGUACCACUCCAGAUGCUUAAGAUGGUUUUGGUAUGUCACCCGUGUCUCACACCCAUAAAGAAGAGUGGGGAUGGGGAUGACUACUGUAUUAUAGACCAGGAUCUUAGUUUCCAUCUGCAGAUCUGUCAAUAAAGACAUGACAAAGCAACUUUCCGAAGGAUUCACUGGCACAAUGGAUCACAUGUUCGAUCUUCACUGGGAGAGGUGGCUAUCAGGGUAAGGGAGAUGCUCAGUGUUUUCCAGGAGUUCACCACUGAUGACAAUUUGUAGGAGAAAUGGGCAACUUAUGCUGGGACAGGCUGGUGGUGCUGAGGGAAAGUCCCAAGCUAUGCUAGCCACCUGAGAAAAGAUCUAGGGUGGAUUGCAAGUCAGUAUUUAGCUUUGGCUAAUAUGACCCACAUGGCAACGCCCAGAGGCUGCUCCAAUUUAAAUAGGGCAGCCCAAGAUCAGGAGGGUGCAAAGGUGGCUUAAAGCCACCAUAGCCCCUGAUGCCCCUAGGCUAUGACUUCUAUGCUCUUCCACUGAAUCUCAAUAUAGGCACCAUAAUUUGCCAUUUACUUGGGUGGGGAGGAUAAUGCCUCAGAAAUUUUGCACAUUGGAACAAUGGCUUCAGUAAAUGCACCUUUUCUUGAGAUUUCCUUCACAGGAAAGCCCUGUGAGCACUCACAUUUACCUCAGUGGAGGCAGGAUUGGGCCCAGUACACAUACAGCUUGACUUCCUCCUUAUGUCUACUACAAUAUGAAAUUGGAUCACAUAUUUCUGUGAGGUCCUUCGCUAUAAGUCUACCCCUGAUAUAGAGCUCAAGAGCCCAGUUUCUUUGAAAUCUGUUACAAACACCCUCAUCAUCUGGCUUACAUUGAAAAUAGUCUUAUAGAAGGAGAGUAGUGUUCAACUAAGUGCAAUAAGCAGUUGUGCCAGUUUUCUGUUAUGUACAUAGAUUUUACCAGGAUCAUUCUGUAUUUCUAUACUAUCAGGGGAAAGUAUUUUAAAAGUGAUUCAUGUUUAUAAUACAAAAGGUAGGGUUGCUGCCUUUCUAAUUGCUGGUAACUGGACCCUUGAUGCCCCACCCCCAAAAGCCUUGGCCCCUGUCCUGCCUCUUUUCCCCCCAAGGGCCCAUCCCCAUCACUCACUCCUCUUCACUCCUCCUCCCCAUUGCUCCCUGGAUCAUCUCCACCUUUCUCUCCCUCCCCCAAAACUGGGCUCCUUCUGCUCUGGAGCUGGGACAGGAGCUGCUGCUCCCUAACAAGGAGCCUGCCUGCAGGAACUGGUGCCGGUUAAUGACCCAGCACCUCCCCCAGCCCCACAGUAACCGGACUUUUGGUGUCCGGUUAGAACAUCUGACCGGACACUGCCAGGUCCCCUUUGACUGAACUUUCUGGUAAAAAACCAAGCACCUGGCAACCCUAAAUGGCACCCGGACUCAGAAGCCACAAACAGGACUGUCCGGGUAAAACCUGGAUGGGUGGUAACCCUAACAAAAGAUUGAUUAUUGUGAAAUACUUAGACCUGGAUUAUUUCUUAGAUAUUCCUGCAGCCAAGGGAGGGCAAGCCCUUGGGCAUGAAGAUUCCUCCCGAUGACUGCCAUGGGGACAGUCGGGACAGACCCCUCUUCCCUCCAAUCCUCACUAAAGCUAGCAUUUUUAUUUAUUUAUGGCUUAAAAUUGUAUUGACUUUUAAGAACUAACAAAGGAUAGUUACACAGCCAACUAGAGAAAGCAAAAGUCCUUGGUAACUCUUUCUGUCCAACCACACAGAAGCUCUGCUUUGUGGCUUCACACAGUGAGGGCAAGGAGGAGGGAAAAGAGGGCCAAGAUGGACCAUAGUGCUACUUGGGGUGGGUGAACCAGAGAGCUCAGGCCAAAUAUUUCCACAGCUCCCAACUACAGACUUGGGCUUGAAACCCCUUUUUCAUCACAUGAAUUACCAUUCCCAUGAAUAGUUGGCAGAAUACAAUGCCAUUAUGUACAGCAGUAAGGGACUAUUGUUUCCUUUACUGCCAUAUAAAAAGAGGUCUAGAUUUGGCCAUAAAUAGUCAUCUGGCUGACUCUCUUGUGAAGUGCUGAAAAAAUGAUAAAAGCAAAGAAUAAUAAAAUAAUUCUACUGGAUAGGUGUAUAAAACCAAAGGUCAAAUGUCAUCUAGCCUGUGUAGCUUGUAUGAAGAACAGAUAUUGUAUAUUUUAUUUGUGUAUUUAUGUUGUAGCUUGUCUAUUAUUUUUCUUAAAAGUUAAGUACACAUAGUAUUAAGUUUAUUUUUUUUUACAUUGAGUCAUUUUUAGUGAUAAAGGUAAGAAAUAUAUUUUUUAAAUGUGUUUAUAAGCUUGAUAGUGUCUCUUUGAUUUGUUUAAUAGUCUGGCUGACUGGCUGUUUCUAUGACAACAAAGCAAAUGUAUUGUAGGUGCAUUAAUAAACAAUUACUAAUAACAGA